CGAACGAGAAAGCUCCGCUUGCGGAGUGAGUAAAGUGGCGCACGGGUGAGUAACACGUGGAUAAUCUGCCUCUGAGCGAGGAAUAACUCGCCGAAAGGCGGGCUAAUACCUCAUAAUAUCUCAAAGACCUCGGUUUGCGAGAUCAAAGGUGGCCUCUGAUUACAAGCUGCCGCUUGGAGAUGAGUUCGCGGCCCAUUAGCUAGUUGGUAGGGUAAUGGCCUACCAAGGCGACGAUGCGUAGCCGACCUGAGAGGGUGAUCGGCCACACUGGGACUGAGACACGGCCCAGACUCCUACGGGAGGCAGCAGUGGGGAAUAUUGCACAAUGGGCGCAAGCCUGAUGCAGCCAUGCCGCGUGUGUGAAGAAGGCCUUAGGGUUGUAAAGCACUUUCAGCAGGGAGGAAGGCUUACCCCUAAUACGGGUGAGUACUUGACGUUACCUGCAGAAGAAGCACCGGCUAAUUUCGUG
rnacentral:rRNA from 1 species